AAGGCGAUCGAGGUUUCACCUUCACAGCUUCACACAAUGGCCUCCCUGGGACUUCAUUCAGGGAUGCCCCUGGAACACACCUGGCCUCAGUGGCUUUCCUUAGAUGAGAAGGGAAGAGCACA